rnacentral:pre_miRNA from 10 species
GUAUAUAUAUGUAUAUACGUGUGUGUGUAUAUAUAUAUACACACACACACAUGUGUGUAUAUAUAUAUGUAUA